AUUGAACGCUGGCGGCAUGCUUUACACAUGCAAGUCGAACGGUAACAGGCCUUAGGGUGCUGACGAGUGGCGAACGGGUGAGUAAUGCAUCGGAACGUGCCCAGAGGUGGGGGAUAACGCAGCGAAAGCUGUGCUAAUACCGCAUGUGAUCUGAGGAUGAAAGCGGGGGACCAGGCAGCAAUGUUUGGCCUCGCGCCUUUGGAGCGGCCGAUGUCAGAUUAGGUAGUUGGUGGGGUAAAGGCCUACCAAGCCGACGAUCUGUAGCUGGUCUGAGAGGACGACCAGCCACACUGGGACUGAGACACGGCCCAGACUCCUACGGGAGGCAGCAGUGGGGAAUUUUGGACAAUGGGCGCAAGCCUGAUCCAGCAAUGCCGCGUGCGGGAAGAAGGCCUUCGGGUUGUAAACCGCUUUUGUACGGAACGAAAAGGCUCUGGCUAAUACCUGGGGCUGAUGACGGUGCCGUAAGAAUAAGCACCGGCUAACUACGUG
rnacentral:rRNA from 1 species